rnacentral:lncRNA from 1 species
CUUCUUUUCUUUUCUUCCUCUUUCGUUCGACGUCGACGGUCAGGCCAAGCCAAACCGCCGCUGCAACCGUCGGCCGCCGUCUCUGUUGCGAAGCAAGGCCGCCGCGUGACCUUCCGCCCACCGCCGUGUGACCCUCUGUCCAGAUCUGCACCGCUAGAUCGAGCCGUCCACCGGUUUCGUCUGUUUCUGUCUCCGUUCACCGAAGUCGAACCCAACCGCCACCCUUUCUUUUCUUCUUCGAUCCAAAAACUGCCGCUGCAACCGUCAGCCGCCGCGUGACCUCUGCCCAGCACCGCCGCGCGACCUCUGUCUCUGCGCCGUUACCCAGAUCUGCGUCGCCGUGCCCCAUCCUAAUCGUCUCUGUCUCUGUCGAAGUUUUGUUGGUAAGAUUGAAGUUAUGAAAUUGUAGUCGUUUACAAAACAAUUUAAGUAUGGGUUGUGAUGUUUUCAAGGUGUUCAAACGUUACGGAUGGGUUAAUUGACUAAUUUGAUAAAUUAUUCUUGAAGGUGUGAAAGGUAACUUUGGAUCACUUAAAUUCACAACCAAUUUGUGAAUUGUUGAGGGUUCAGUUUGCCAAUAUAUCGGUGAGUUGGAACUUACGUUGAGGAAAGUAAGUGAGAUAUGUAUCGUGAAAGUAAUUGAAUUUUGUGUUGUUGUGCUUAGGAUUGUUUCGAGGACGUUAGUUGAUUAAGGAGCUUCCCCAACUUUGAGGUAAGGGACUUUCUACUGGACUCACCUAAAGUUUUUGAGUUGUGUUGGACUGUAUGGAUGAUGAUUAAGAUGUACAUGUUUGGUUGCAGACUAAAUGUUUAGUGUAUGUUGUAUUUGACUGGAAACAUAUAUAUAUACAUUGUUGUGUGAAUUGAUGUGGAUUGCCGAAAGUAUACAUGUGAAUGACUGAAAUUAUGCUUAUGUGUACAUGAUGAUAUUAAUAGAUUGUGUUGUAUAAAGAUUUGGAUGUGAACUAGUGAAUUUGUUUCGGUUGGAUGUGGAUUAUACUGAACUGUGGUUUGUGCUGGUGAACUGAGGGGUGUAUUGACUGUAUAGUUUGAUUGACUGACGUAUUAGUAUAUUAUUGACAGACAUAUGACUAAAGUGAGUUAAGUUGACUGUUAGGACGUUGAGAGAAAGAACUUUAUGUUUUGAAGUAACUGAAAGAUGGAUUGAAUGGAAUGAGGGGAUAAAUUGUUAGAUUGUAUUGGGAUGUUUACCUUGUAGGUGUCCCACGGGAUCACCAAUUUAUUUUGCACCUUCGGGAGCAUUUGACUGAUAUGUGUUUCUGCAGAACACUAGACUGAUAUGUACGUCCCUCGGGGCGUUAGACUGAUAUGUACGUUCCUCGGGGCGUUAGACUGAGAUGUGUAUCCUACGGGAUCACAAGACUGCGACUGUACAGGGUGUCCCAAUAGAACUUUAACAAUUUAUUUUCCCCUGACGAGACCAGUAGAGGGUCUCUUACUGAGUAUUGUUAUACUCACCCUUCUUAUGUUUAAUUUUCAGGCAAAGGAAAUAAAGGUGGCAAACCGGCGAGGGGCAGGAAGGAAGCGUGAUUGCCAUAGGAAAUGUGUCAUUUUGCUUCCGCUUAUGGUUUCUUUUGAGGUUUAAGAUGUACUAAAACUUAGUUUACAAACUUUUAUUUGUAAAUAGUGUUAUUUUUAAGUUUUCUUGAAUAUUUGAAAAUCAGGCCUUACAUAAAUUGUUUUUAAAUUGACUUACGUUUCAUUUUGUAUCAACCAAAGUCUUUUGUUAAAAAUUAAUGACCUCGACUUACCUAUAAAAGUUGGGUCGUUACAGAUAUAUAUUGAAAUUCAACUAUAAAUUAUGUAGAACUAUAUGUCACUAAAUAUUUAUGUUGUAAAUAAGGUGUAUCUAUAUAUUAAAUCACAUCAUAAACAUAUUAUAAUUUACGAGUAUAUUAUAGUAUAUAUUGUUCAUUUAAAAAAUAUAUGACAAAUAGAAGGUAUAUAAUUAUACGAAGUGAGAAUAUGUAUGUAUGAUAUUCUCACUGCAUAUAUAUAUAUACACUAAGAAUGUGUAUUUUACUGUUUUAGUAGUAUUUACUAUAUAAAUAUAUAUUUUAAAAUAUUAAUUAUAAAUGAAUAUAUAGUUUACUACAUGUUGUUACAACAUACUUAAGAUAUAAAUGUUUAUAUGACUAACAACAUAAUAUUACUAUAAGAUAAACAAAAAAAUAAAGAACAGAUUGAAUUGAAAAAUAUUUUCGAUUACUGUAUGUCACUAUAUAUGUCUGAUUGUAUAUAUCUCUAAGCAAUAUUACAUAAUGAGGUAGUAUAUAUGUAAACAAAUCACAUAAUAUAUAUGUAUUAUGGAGUAGUAUAAAUGUAAUUGUUGAGCAAGAAAUUUCAACCAAUGAAAUUACACCACGUCGUCGCACCCAAGUUGUGAUGAUUAUAAUUUGAUUGGAUUUGGGUAGUCAAGUUUUCCAACCCAAUUCAAGCCCCUGAUAAAAAAUCAGGCCAAACAAAGGGGCCUAAGCCCACUAAGAAAAUGGGCCCAAGCCCAAGUCCAAGCUCAACAACUCAACAAGAAAAUGGGUCCAAAGCCCACAUAAAGUCCACAAAUUUUCUCUAUAAGUAGACCUUUGUCAUUCAUUCGAGAGAUCUUUUGUUGAAGGAAGAAAUGAAGCUCUGAAGUACUGAAGCUUUGAAGAAUUGAAGAUUCAAACUUCUAUAGAGCUCUCAAGACGUGCAAGUUUUUAUCAACUUCGAGAUCAUCGUCUUCUGAAAUAUUGAAGACUUGGAAGAUCAAAAUUUCCUUGAAUUCCAGAAGACUGAAGCUGAAAUAGACCGAACCAUUUAAAUUCGGUUUGGACUAUUUGAGACAGCAACAAACUGUGUUUUUUGUUUUGUACAUAAAUGGUGUGGUUUGAUUCGGUUUUAACAAGCGGUUCAAUUUAUACCGUUUAGACUUGAUCUUAUAUAAUGUGAAAUUAUUUUUUUUUCUUUGAAUUUUUAUCUAAGUGUACUCAAAUUGUAUACCAUGUUACAAAAUUAAUUGCAAUAAAUUUUUUAAAAUUUUCAAAAAUAUCAUAAAUUGACUAAUAUUUUAUACAAAUAUAGAGUAAAAAUGACCAAUUUACUCUUUUUAUUAUUAAUAAUAUAUUAAAAAUAAAAAGAAAAGUGAACCACGUUUAAGAUUUUCAUUUAUUAAAUAUUCUAUGAAAAUAUGGAUUAAAUUCUAUUAAAGUAAUAUUAUGUAAUGCCCAAAGAAAAGGUAAAUAUAUAUAUAUAUAUAUAUAUAUAUAUAUAUAUAUAUAUAUAUAUAUUACUUUUAUUUUAAUAUUAAAAAAUUUCUUUAUUUUUUUUCUCUUCUUUUCUUCUUUUUCUUUUUCUUUUCUUUUCUCCCAUCUUCUUCCCCGUGCGACCGCGACCCGUAUCCAUCUUCUCCACUCCGUUCUCCAUCUCCGUUCGCGAAGCAGCCUUGCAGCAGCCGCCGCGUAACUGUCUGAUCCAGAUCUGCGUCGCAGCCCAGAAACCGCCGCCCUUAUUUUCUUUCCGGUCGUUUUCUUUCUCCUUCGGAUCGAAACCGCCACGCCCAUCCACCUGUAACUGUCGUUGCUCUUCCGCCUCUGCCCAGUUUUGCCGCGCAACACCUGUCUCCGUCUAAGCCAAUCCAGCCGCCGUCUCUAUCUCCGUUCGCGAGGCAAAUCGCACGCCUCAGUCACAAACAGCCUCGCCGACGCAGGUCACGCCGCAUCGCACGAGUUCGGCUACGUUACCGGGCUACUCCCGUCUGCGCGUAACUGCUGUUGAACGUCCGAACCAUUCUGCCUUCGUCGAUACCCGCUGUCCAUUUACGAAUUGUGGACCGAUUCGCGUGCAGAUUUGUUUGCACGAUUUCUUUUGUGUAGAUCCUGCUGCGGCAACUUCUAUUUUAACGUCGAUUGUCAAAGUCUUGUUAUAAGUUAUUGGUAAGGAUGAGAUUGUUGGGUAAUAAGGUUUUACAUUUGUAAAUACAUUAAGAUGUGAUGUUUGUUUAAUUGGUUGAAUUGAUGUUUGUUCUUGAAGGCGACAUCGGUUAUUUGGAGUUAGUGUCCUUGAGUUACGCCUUAAGCUUUGUUGGAAUUCGAUUCUUUACUCUUUGGGGUUUGUUUGUUGGAAUUAGUUCGACCAAGAAAUUUUACAUAAAAUCGAGGUAAGGGAUUUUCUACUGGACUCAAUUGUGAUUGUGAACUGUGAUUGUGAACUGUAUGUGUGUUGAAUGUAUACUGUGGGUUGACUGAAAAUAUAUAUGAAUUGAAGUAGACUUGACGUUGAAUGUAUGUCGUGAUUGUCAUGGAAUCUAUGUAUAAAUGUGGGUAUGUGGACAGGACGGAGAUUGUAGAUUGUGUUUGUAUGAGAUUCUCGUUUAGAUUGGGUGUAUGAUUACGCUAAAGUAUGACUGUGUGCUGGUGAACUAAGGGGUGCAUUGACUGUAUAGUGGAUUGACUGAUGUAUUAGCAUAUUAUUGACAGACAUAUGACUGUAGUAAAAUAAGUUGACUGUUAGGAUGUUGAAAGAAAGAACUUUGUGACUUGAAGUAACUGAAAGAUGGGUUGAAUAGAAUGAGGGGAAAAUUGUUAGAUUGUAUUGGGAUGUUUACCUGGUAGGUGUCCCACGGGAUCACCAAUUUAUUGUGCACCUUCGGGAGCAUUUGACUGAUAUGUGUUUCUACAGAACACUAGACUGAUAUGUACGUCCCUCGGGGCGUUAGACUGAGAUGUGUAUCCUACGGGAUCACAAGACUGCGACUGUACAGGGUGUCCCAAUAGAACUUUAACAAUUUAUUUUCCCCUGACGAGACCAGUAGAGGGUCUCUUACUGAGUAUUUAAAUACUCACCCUUCUUAUGUUUAAUUUUCAGGCAAAGGUAAUAAAGGCGGCAAACAGGCGAGGGGUAGGAAGGAAGCGUGAUGCCAUAGGAAACGUGUUUUUGCUUCCACUUAUGGGUUCUUGUGAGGUUUAAAAUGAAUUGAAAUUUAGUUUACAAACGUUUGUUGUAAAUAGUAUUAUUUUAUGUUUUCUUGAAUGUUUAAAAAUCAGGCCUGACUUGAAGAUGUUUUUUUUAAAUUGCUUACGUUUUGUUUUAUAUUAAUCAAAGUCUUUUAUUUGUAAAAAACUAAUAACGACCUCGACUUACUUAGAAAAGUUGGGUCGUUACAGUUGGUAUCAGAGCCUAAGUUUUAGGUUCUGUAGACUGACUUAUGAUGUAAGUCUAUGUUUUUGUUUUCCUAUGGCUAACACGACCCUUCGUAUCUCGUCAUGUAUGCUUGAUGCUUAUAUGUAUGGUUUAUUUGCAUGACCUUGCCUAAAUUAAACUAGAUUGCAUGACGAUAAAGACUUGCUUAUGCGUAUGAUUAAGAUUUUGUUAAAGAGUGUUGUUGGUGGAUAAUAGGAAUUAUGCCGCCAAGGGAAGGUGUACGUAGAGGAGGUCGUAGAGGCCGAGGUAGAGGAGUAGGAGGCCGAGGUAGAGGAGCAGGUCGUAAUCAGCCUACUGAGGGUCAAGCUGAACAGCGAAUUCCUGCUGCACCCGUGACUCACGUUGAGUUUGAUGCACUGUCUGCUCACAUGGAGCAGAGGUUUACAGAACUUAUGACAGCUAUAGCUCAAAACCAGCAGGCACCUGCGGUUCCACCUGCACCUGUAGUUCCCCCUGCACCAGCAGCCCCUCCUGCACAAGAAUUACCGAACCAACUUUCUGCUGAGGCGAAACAUUUGAGGGACUUUCGGAAGUAUGACCCUCAGACGUUUGAUGGGUCACUGGAGGAUCCUACUAAAGCUGAAAUGUGGUUGUCCUCUGUGGAAACCAUAUUUAAUUACAUGAGAUGUCGCGAGGAGCACAGAGUUCAGUGUGCUGCUUUUCUACUAAGGGACAGAGGCAUUAUCUGGUGGAGGACUACAAUGCGCAUGCUAGGUGGAGAUGUGAGGCAAAUUACCUAGGAUCAGUUUAAGGACUGCUUCUAUACCAAGUUUUUCUCGGCUAACCUUAGAGAUGCCAAAAGCCAGGAAUUCUUGGAGUUAAAGCAAGGAUAUAUGACAGUCGAGGAGUACGACCAGGAGUUUGAUAUGCUGUCACGUUUUGCCCCUGAGCUUGUUAGUAAUGAGCAGGCUAGAGCUGAUAGGUUCGUCAAGGGAUUGAGAUAUGAAAUUAGGGGCUUUGUGCGAGCACUAAAGCCCACUACCCAAGCUGAAGCACUGCGUCGGGCAGUGGAUAUGAGCGUUGGGAAGGAUGAAAUACAGCCAAGGAGCUUUGAUAAGGGAUCGUCGUCGGGUCAAAAGAGAAAAGUAGAGCAGAGAACUGUAGGAGUUCCUCAGAGGAACUUGAGACCAGGCGAUUCCUUUUCGCAGUUUCCAGCAGAGUUCUGGCGGUGCAGGAGACACUACUCGAGAGAGGCCAGUAUGUAAUACGUGUGGGAAACGCCACCUGGGUCGUUGUUUGAUGGGAACGAGAGUCUGUUAUAAGUGCAAGCAAGAGGGACACAUGGCUGAUAGGUGUCCCUUGAGAUCUACUGGGGCUGGAUCGAGCAGUCAGGGAGAGAGACCUCCACAGCGGGGUACAAUCUUUGCCACUAAUAGAUCAGAGGCAGAGAAGGCCGGCACAGUAGUGACAGGUACAUUACCAGUGUUAGGGCAUUUUGCCUUGACCUUGUUUGACUCGGGAUCUUCUCAUUCAUUUAUUUCAUCGCUUUUUGUGACGCAUGCAUGCUUAGAGGUGGAACCCUUAGACUAUGUUUUGUCAGUGUCUACACCGUCUGGAGAAAUUAUGUUGUCUAAGGAAAAGAUUAAAGCAUGUGAAAUUGAGAUAGCUGGUCGUGUGCUGGACGUAACCUUGUUGGUAUUAGAUAUGCGUGACUUUGAUGUAAUUUUAGGUAUGGAUUGGCUAGCUACUAAUCAUGCUAGUAUUGAUUGUUCUCGUAAGGAAGUUGUGUUCAGUCCCCCUACUGCAUCUAGCUUUAAAUUCAAGGGGUAGGAACAGUAGUACUGCCUAAAGUAAUCUCAGCUAUGAAAGCUAGUAAACUACUCAACCAGGGUACUUGGAGUAUUUUGGCAAGUGUGGUGGAUACUAGGGAAGGUGAGACUUCUUUAACUUCAGAACCUGUGGUAAGAGACUACCCAGAUGUAUUUCCAAAAGAUCUUCCAGGACUACCGCCACAUAGAGAGGUUGAUUUUGCCAUUGAGUUGGAGCCAAACACUACUCCUAUUUCUAGAGCCCCUUAUAGGAUGGCUCCUGCUGAGUUGAAAGAACUGAAGGUACAGUUACAGGAAUUGCUUGACAAAGGCUUUAUUCGACCUAGUGUGUCACCUUGGGGUGCACCAGUAUUGUUUGUGAAGAAGAAGGAUGGGUCGAUGCGUCUUUGCAUUGACUAUAGAGAGUUGAAUAAAGUAACAGUCAAGAACAGAUAUCCUUUACCCAGAAUCGAUGAUUUGUUCGAUCAGUUACAGGGAGCCACGGUGUUCUCUAAGAUUGACUUACGGUCAGGUUAUCACCAGUUGAGGAUUAGAGACCGUGAUAUUCCUAAGACUGCUUUUCGUUCGAGGUAUGGACAUUAUGAAUUCAUAGUAAUGUCUUUUGGUUUGACUAAUGCACCUGCUGUAUUUAUGGAUUUGAUGAACAGGGUGUUUAAGGAUUUCUUAGACACUUUUGUGAUAGUCUUCAUUGAUGAUAUUUUGGUUUAUUCCAAGACUGAAGCCGAACAUGAGGAACACUUACAUAAGGUGUUAGAGACUCUUCGAGUCAAUAAACUGUAUGCUAAGUUCUCUAAGUGCGAAUUUUGGUUGAAGCAGGUGGCUUUUCUUGGUCAUGUGGUUUCCAGUGAGGGAGUUUCAGUAGACCCUGCAAAGAUAGAAGCGGUUACCAGUUGGUCUCGACCCUCUACAGUUAGUGAGGUUCGUAGUUUUCUGGGUUUAGCAGGGUACUACCGGAGGUUUGUGGAGGAUUUUUCACGUUUGGCUACUCCCUUGACUCAGUUGACAAGGAAGGGAACUCCGUUUGUUUGGAGUCCAGCUUGUGAGGAUAGUUUUCAGAACCUUAAGCAAAGGUUAGUUACUGCACCGGUCCUUACUGUACCAGAUGGAUCUGGAAGUUUUGUGAUUUACAGUGAUGCUUCCAAGAAAGGACUGGGUUGUGUUUUGAUGCAGAAAGGUAAGGUGGUUGCUUAUGCCUCUCGUCAGUUGAAGAGUCACGAGCAGAACUACCCCACACAUGAUUUGGAGUUGGCAGCAGUGGUUUUUGCAUUGAAGAUAUGGAGACAUUACUUGUACGGUGAAAAGAUACAAAUCUUUACUGACCAUAAGAGCCUAAAGUACUUCUUCACUCAGAAGGAGUUGAAUAUGAGACAGCGAAGGUGGCUCGAGUUGGUAAAAGAUUAUGACUGUGAGAUAUUGUACCAUCCUGGUAAGGCGAAUGUGGUGGCUGAUGCUCUUAGUAGAAAAGUAUCACAUUCGGCAGCACUCAUUACUAGACAGGUACCAUUGCAUCGAGACUUGGAGAGAGCUGAGAUUGCAGUGUCUGUGGGGAGAGUCACCUCACAGCUAGCUCAAUUAACGGUGCAACCAACACUGAGACAGAAGAUUGUUGAUGCUCAGAGUAAUGAUCCUUAUUUGAUGGAGAGACGUCGCCUUGUUGAAACAGGGCAGAUUGAUGAGUUCUCCAUAUCCUCUGAUGGUGGGUUGAUGUUUGAGAGACGUUUAUGUGUGCCAGCGAACAGUACAGUUAAGAUUGACUUACUAGAUGAAGCCCAUAAUUCCUCAUUUUCCAUGCAUCAUGGUAGCACGAAAAUGUAUCAGGAUCUAAAACGAUUUUAUUGGUGGCGGAAUAUGAAAAGGGAAGUGGCGGAAUUUGUUAGUAAGUGUCUAGUAUGUCAGCAAGUUAAGGCACCUAGACAGAAACCAGCAGGUUUGUUACAACCCUUAAGUGUGCCAGAGUGGAAGUGGGAGAAUGUGUCGAUGGAUUUUAUUUCAGGGCUGCCUAAGACCCUGAAGGGUUUCACAGUGAUUUUGGUUGUCAUAGACAGGCUUACGAAAUCGGCACAUUUUGUACCAGGAAAAUCCACUUAUACUGCUAGUAAGUGGGCAGAGUUGUAUUUAACUGAGAUUGUGAGACUGCAUGGAGUGCCUGUAUCGAUUGUUUCUGAUAGGGAUGCACGGUUUACUUCCAAGUUUUGGAAGGGACUUCAGACUGCUAUGGGUACGAGAUUGGAUUUCAGUACAGCCUUUCAUCCACAGACUGAUGGUCAAACUGAACGUUUGAACCAAGUUUUAGAGGAUAUGCUACGAGCUUGUGUUAUAGAGUUUCCAGGUAGUUGGGACUCUCAUCUACAUUUGAUGGAGUUUGCUUAUAACAACAGUUUCCAGGCUACCAUCGGUAUGGCGCCAUUUGAAGCUUUGUAUGGUAAAUGUUGUAGAACCCCUAUUUGUUGGGGUGAGGUUGGUGAACAUAGGUUGAUGGGACCUGAAUUAGUUUGGUCUACUAAUGAGGCUAUUCAAACGAUUAGAACGCGUAUGCAAACAGCGCAGAGUAGACAAAAGAGUUAUGCAGAUGUACGGCGAAAAAGACCUUAAGUUCGAUGUGGGAGAAAAGGUAUUCUUGAAGGUAGCACCAAUGAAGGGUGUUAUGCGUUUUGAGAAGAAAGGGAAGUUAAGUCCUCGAUUUGUUGGACCAUUUGAGAUCUUAGAGAGGGUUGGUGUUGUGGCGUAUCGCUUGGCAUUACCACCAUCACUCUCUGCAGUUCAUAAUGUUUUCCAUGUUCCGAUGUUGAGGAAGUAUGUGGCCGAUACAUCUCAUGUAGUGGACUAUGAACCCUUGGAGAUUGAUGAGCAUUUGAGCUAUGUAGAACAACCUGUGGAGAUUCUGGCUAGAGAGGUAAAGAUGCUUCGUAAUAGAAGCAUUCCAUUAGUAAAGGUUUUGUGGCGGAAUCAUCGAAUUGAAGAGGCGACAUGGGAGCGAGAGGAAGAAAUGAGGACUCGUUAUCCAGAGUUAUUUCAGGAUUAAAACUUUCGAGGACGAAAGUUUCUUAAGGAGGGAAGAAUGUAAUGCCCAAAGAAAAGGUAAAUAUAUAUAUAUAUAUAUAUAUAUAUAUAUAUAUAUAUAUAUAUAUAUAUAUAUUAUUUUUAUUUUAAUAUUAAAAAAUUUCUUUAUUUUUUUUCUCUUCUUUUCUUCUUUUUCUUUUUCUUUUCUUUUCUCCCAUCUUCUUCCCCGUGCGACCGCGACCCCAUCCAUCUUCUCCACUCCGUUCUCCAUCUCCGUUCGCGAAGCAGCCUUGCAGCAGCCGCGGCGUAACUGUCUGAUCCAGAUCUGCGUCGUAGCCCAGAAACCGCCGCCCUUAUUUUCUUUCCGGUCGUUUUCUUUCUCCUUCGGAUCGAAACCGCCGCGCCCAUCCACCUGUAACUGCCAUUGCUCUUCCGCCUCUGCCCAGUUUUGUCGCGCAACACCUGUCUCCGUCGAAGCCAACCCAGCCGCCGUCUUUAUCUCCGUUCGCGAGGUAAAUCGCACGCCUUAGUCACGAACAGCCUCGCCGGUAUUAGCAUAUUAUUGACAGACAUAUGACUGUAGUAAAAUAAGUUGACUGUUAGGAUGUUGAAAGAAAGAACUUUGUGACUUGAAGUAACUGAAAGAUGGGUUGAAUGGAAUGAGGGGAUAAAUUGUUAGAUUGUAUUGGGAUGUUUACCUUGUAGGUGUCCCACGGGAUCACCAAUUUAUUGUGCACCUUCGGGAGCAUUUGACUGAUAUGUGUUUCUGCAGAACACUAGACUGAUAUGUACGUCCCUUGGGGCGUUAGACUGAUAUGUACGUCCCUCGGGGCAUUAGACUGAGAUGUGUAUCCUACGGGAUCACAAGACUGCGACUGUACAGGGUGUCCCAAUAGAACUUUAACAAUUUAUUUUCCCCUGACGAAACCAGUAGAGGGUCUCUUACUGAGUAUUUAAAUACCCACCCUUCUUAUAUAUGUUUAAUUUUCAGGCAAAGGUAAUAAAGGCGACAAACAGGCGAGGGGCAGGAAGGAAGCGUGAUGCCAUAGGAAACGUGUUUUUGCUUCCACUUAUGGGUUCUUGUGAGGUUUAAAAUGAAUUGAAAUUUAGUUUACAAACGUUUGUUGUAAAUAGUAUUAUUUUAUGUUUUCUUGAAUGUUUAAAAAUCAGGCCUGACUUGAAGAUGUUUUUUUUUAAAUUGCUUACGUUUUGUUUUAUAUUAAUCAAAGUCUUUUAUUUGUAAAAAAAUAAUAACGACCUCGACUUACUUAGAAAAGUUGGGUCGUUACAUAUUAAUAAUAAAAAUUGUCCUUAGUUUGCUUUUUAUGAUUUUAUUAAAAAAUUGUCCUUUUUUAUUCUGCAUUCUUUUUCAUAUAUUUUAUAUAAUUAUAGUAUAUAUUGAAUAAUAUAAUGUAUAUUUUAUUAGUGAAAUGUUCUUAUAUCAAUUUAUUUAUUUAUUUUAUUUAAAUAUUCAUAUCUUACAUAGUAAAUAAUACAUUAUGUUUGAAAUAAUAUUAAUUAUACAUGAAAGUUGUUUAUGUUUACAAGAACAUGAAUGAGAAAUAAUUAUGAUGAGUAUAUGUAAUAUAUGUCAUUAAAAUAUUUGUUAUUCUCUAGUAUAUGUAAUAGGGGUGUUCAAAAUGAAGUUGAAAACUGAAUCGAAUCACUAAUCGAACCGAAAUCGAAUGCAUAUGGUUCGGUUCGAUUCGAUUUCUAUUUCAAAAAAACCACAUAAAAUUCGGUUCGGUUCAGUUUAAGAUGUUAAGAACCGAUUCUCAAACCGAACUGAAUUGCUUUAUUUUAAAAACUAAAUAUAUAUAUAUAUAUAUAUAUAUAUAUAUGUGUGUGUUAAUAAUAAGACUUUUUUAGACUUCAAAGCGGGUAUAGAGGCAAAAAUCAAUGAGAGGAACGAAAAGGAGAAGAAUGACAUAAUCAAAACGUAAAUGACAAGUUGUCUUGACGAAGUUUGCAUGACUGUAGGACUUUUAUUCAUCUUAGGGGGAUUUUAAAACUUCUAUGUGUUGUUGGACUUUCAAAUUUCAAUGUUUGAAACAUCUAUGUCUGUAAUUUUGAAAUUUCUAUGUUUAUAACUUUGUAUAAGCCGUUCGGUUUUGAUUUGAUUUUAUUUAUGUAUAUGUGGUUCGGUUUUCAUUCGGUUUGGCAUAGAUGAGCGGUUCGGUUCGGUUUCAAUGAAGAUUUUUUUUAUCAUUUUGCGGUUCGAUGCGGUUUUAGCUUCAAACCGAACCGCGAACACCACUAAUAUGUAAUGUUGAGAUCAACUGAAUAUGUUUGUAAUGUAGGGACUUUGAUGAAAGAAUUGAAGAUUCAGGAAAUUGUAUGAAAAAAAAUGGUUGAAUGUUAAAUUGACUUAUGAAUAGUGUAUAUGAAACAAUACAUUAUAUAUUUUUAUGAAUGAAAUGUUAUGCAAUCAAUUUGUUAAACUGGUUUAUUUAUUUUAUUUCAAAUAUUUAUUUUAUAUGUAAUAAUAAUAAUAAGUUAUGUUUGAAACAGCAGUAUAAGGAUAUAUCAUAAUAUAUAUUGUUCAUUUAAGGUUAGUAAGAAUUUUAUAUUUUGUAUUUGAAAUAUACUAUGAUAUAUUGAGUACAUCAAAGAUGACAUCAUUUAUGUACUAUUGAAAAUAUGAAGUAGUAUAUAUAUGUAACAAAUCACAUAAGAUAUAUGUAUCAUGUACUAGUAUAUACGUCAUUAUUUAUAUAUACACACCUAAUGAAAAAAAGUAGAGUGUGUGGGACCCACGUAUAUAAAUAAUGAGAAAAUAAAAAAUGUUGGCCCAAUGUAAUAUAUAUAUAAAGUAAAAAAUAAACUAUGUAGGGUCCACUGCAUGAAAAUUGUGUAGGGGUACAAAACUUCACCUCAACUCACCUAUUUUUGUCAAUAGUUUUGCAUUCACCUACUUUUGACAUAUGUUUCAAAAUUUACAUUAUUUUUUAAAAAAGUUCUAUACAUAAUAAAUAAUAACUCGUGAUUGAAACAAGAGUGGUUAUGUAUGAAUGAUAGUAUAUUAAAUAUAAUAAAUUGAAAAAAAUUGAUUGGUACCGUAGAUGAAAAUUUAUGAAAAAAUAUAGAAAUAAAAUAACUAAAUUAAAAACUGAAAUAUGAAUAUUUCAAAUAAAAGUAUAAAUCAACAUACUAAAAGUUUAAUAAUAAGAAAGAAAAAUUAGUUCAAUAAGGAAAGCUUGCAUCUCUUUCGUUUAUGACAACCACAUUUAAAACUUCAUUUUAGAAUGAAUUCUAAUAUUUUUUUGUUGACCAACUGAACGUUUGACAUUCAAUGGGAUGAUGUCAACUUCAACUACUGUAUUAUUGAAUAUAUGCAUUAGUAUGUAUGUAACAAAUCAAAUAAAAUACUAAUCGAAUAUAGAAAAAUAUAAAGAAAAUGAUACAAAACGUGAAGGAAAAAAACUGAACUAUAUAUGUGUCACAAAAUACGUGUUAUUAUAUUUAUAUAAAUGUAUAUAUUGAUAACAUCAACCUGUCUAUGUAGUGAUAUAUAUUGAAAUUCAACUAUAAAAUUAUGUAGAACUAUAUGUCACUAAAUAUUUAUGUUGUAAAUAAGGUGUAUUUAUAUAUUAAAUCACAUCAUAAACAUAUUAUAAUUUACGAGUAUAUUAUAGUAUAUAUUGUUCAUUUAAAAAAUAUAUGACAAAUAGAAGGUAUAUAAUUAUACGAAGUGAGAAUAUGUAUGUAUGAUAUUCUCACUACAUAUUAUAUAUACACUAAGAAUGUGUAUUUUACUGUUUUAGUAGUAUUUACUAUAUAAAUAUAUAUUUUAAAUAUUAAUUAUUAAUGAAUAUAUAGUUUACUACAUGUUGUUACAACAUACUUAAGAUAUAAAUGUUUAUAUGACUAACAACAUAAUAUUACUAUAAGAUAAACAAAAAAAUAAAGAACAGAUUGAAUUGAAAAAUAUUUUCGAUUAUUGUAUGUCACUAUAUAUGUCUGAUUGUAUAUAUCUCUAAGCAAUAUUGUAAUGCCCCAAGAAGAGAGGAAGAAAAAAGAGGAAAAGAAGGAAAGGUAUAUAUAUUAUUUUUUUUCUUUUUUUUCUUUUCUUUUUCUUUUUUUCUUUUCUCUUCUCUUCUCCUCCCGUGCGCCCUUCCCCUUCUCCCCGUUCGCAGCGCAGCAACCGCCGCCGGUCAUCUCCAUCUUUUCUUCUCCUCUCCGCUCCUUCCAGACCCAGCCUCACCGUCGCGUCUCCCCUACUGAAGCCGAACGCCCGAUCUGCCGUCUCCAUUUCCGUUCGCAAAGCAGGACCGCGCCGUUGCUCUUCCGCCGCUGCCCGGUCCAGAUCUGCGUCGCAGCCCAGCAACCGCCGCCGCCGCCCCUAUUUUUCUUUCCGGUCGUUUUCUUCUCUUCUUCGGAUCCACAACUGCCGUUGUAACCGUCGGCCGCCGCGUGACCUCUGCCCAGUUCCGCCGCGCAACACCUGUCUCCGUCGAAGCCAAGCCAGCCGCCAUCCAUUCCUUUCCUUUCUCCUCUGUUUUCAGCACUGUCGCGCGACCGCUAACCGACCCACAUUUAGGAUUUUUGCUGCGAGUUCGACAUUCGUGCGUUGAGGUGUUGGGAGUAUCGUUAGACUCCCUUACAUUCACAAUCAGUUUGUGAAUUGUUGAGGGUUCAGUUCGCCAAUAUUUCGGUGAGUUGGAACUUACGUUGAGGAAAGUAAGUGAGAUAUGUAUCGUGAAAGUAAUUGAAGUUUUGUGUUGUUGUGCUUAGGAUUGUUUCGAGGACGUUAGUUGAUUAAGAAGCUUCCCCAACUUUGAGGUAAGGGACUUUCUACUGGACUCACCUAAAGUUUUUGAGUUGUGUUGGACUGUAUGGAUGAUGAUUAAGAUGUACAUGUUUGGUUGCAGACUAAAUGUUUAGUGUAUGUUGUAUUUGACUGGAAACAUAUAUAUAUACAUUGAUGUGUGAAUUGAUGUGGAUUGCCGAAAGUAUACAUGUGAAUGACUGAAAUUAUGCUUAUGUGUACAUGAUGAUAUUAAUAGAUUGUGUUGUAUAAAGAUUUGGAUGUAAACUAGUGAAUUUAUUUCGGUUGGAUGUGGAUUAUACUGAACUGUGGUUUGUGCUGGUGAACUGAGGGGUGUAUUGACUGUAUAGUUUGAUUGACUGACAUAUUAGUAUAUUAUUGACAGACAUAUGACUAAAGUGAGAUAAGUUGACUGUUAGGACGUUGAGAGAAAGAACUUUAUGUUUUGAAGUAACUGAAAGAUGGAUUGAAUGGAAUGAGGGGAUAAAUUGUUAGAUUGUAUUGGGAUGUUUACCUUGUAGGUGUCCCACGGGAUCACCAAUUUAUUUUGCACCUUCAGGAGCAUUUGACUGAUAUGUGUUUCUGCAGAACACUAGACUGAUAUGUACGUCCCUCGGGGCGUUAGACUGAUAUGCACGUCCCUCGGGGCGUUAGACUGAUAUGUACGUCCUUCGGGGCGUUAGACUGAAAUGUGUAUCCUACGGGAUCACAAGACUGCGACUGUACAGGGUGUCCCAAUAGAACUUUAACAAUUUAUUUUCCCCUGACGAGACCAGUAGAGGGUCUCUUACUGAGUAUUGUUAUACUCACCCUUCUUAUGUUUAAUUUUCAGGCAAAGGAAAUAAAGGUGGCAAACCGGCGAGGGGCAGGAAGGAAGCGUGAUUGCCAUAGGAAAUGUGUCAUUUUGCUUCCGCUUAUGGUUUCUUUUGAGGUUUAAGAUGUACUAAAACUUAGUUUUACAAACUUUUAUUUGUAAAUAGUGUUAUUUUUAAGUUUUCUUGAAUAUUUGAAAAUCAGGCCUGACAUAAAUUGUUUUUAAAUUGACUUACGUUUCAUUUUGUAUCAACCAAAGUCUUUUGUUAAAAAUUAACGACCUCGACUUACCCAGAAAAGUUGGGUCGUUACAAAUAUUACAUAAUGAGGUAGUAUAUAUGUAACAAAUCACAUAAUAUAUAUGUAUUAUGGAGAAGUAUAAAUGUAAUUGUUGAGCAAGAAACUUCAACCAAUGAAAUUACACCACGUCGUCGCACCCAAGUUGUGAUGAUUAUAAUUUGAUUGGAUUUGGGUAGUCAAGUUUUCCAACCCAAUUCAAGCCCCUGAUAAAAAAUCAGGCCAAACAUAGGGGCCUAAGCCCACUAAGAAAAUGGGCCCAAGCCCAAGUCCAAGCUCAACAACUCAACAAGCAAAUGGGUCCAAGCCCACAUAAAGUCAACAAAUUUUCUCUAUAAGUAGAGACCUUUGUCAUUCAUUCGAGAGAUCUUUUGUUUAAGGAAGAAAUGAAGCUCUGAAGUACUGAAGCUUUGAAGAAUUGAAGAUUCAAACUUCUAUAGAGCUCUCAAGACGUGCAAGUUAUUAUCAACUUUGAGAUCAUCGUCUUCUGAAAUAUUGAAGACUUGGAAGAUCAAAAUUUCCUUGAAUUCCAGAAGACUGAAGCUGAAAUAGACCGAACCAUUUAAAUUCGGUUUGGACUAUUUGAGACAGCAACAAACUGUGUUUUUUGUUUUGUACAUAAAUGGUGUGGUUUGAUUCGGUUUUAACAAGCGGUUCAAUUUAUACCGUUUAGACAUGAUCUUAUAUAAUGUGAAAUUAUUUUUUUUUCUUUGAAUUUUUAUCUAAGUGUACUCAAAUUGUAUACCAUGUUACAAAAUUGCAAUAAAUUUUUUAAAAUUUUCAAAAAUAUCAUAAAUUGACUAAUAUUUUAUACAAAUAUAGAGUAAAAAUGACCAAUUUACUCUUUUUAUUAUUAAUAAUAUAUUAAAAAUAAAAAGAAAAGUGAACCACGUUUAAGAUUUUCAUUUAUUAAAUAUUCUAUGAAAAUAUGGAUUAAAUUUUAUUAAAGUAAUAUUAAUAAUAAAAAUUGUCCUUAGUUUGCUUUUUAUGAUUUUAUUAAAAAAUUGUCCUUUUUUUAUUUUGCAUUCUUUUUCAUAUAUUUUAUAUAAUUAUAGUAUAUAUUGAAUAAUAUAAUGUAUAUUUUAUUAGUGAAAUGUUCUUAUAUCAAUUUAUUUAUUUAUUUUAUUUAAAUAUUCAUAUCUUACGUAGUAAAUAAUACAUUAUGUUUGAAAUAAUAUUAAUUAUAUAUGAAAGUUGUUUAUGUUUACAAGAACAUGAAUGAGAAAUAAUUAUGAUGAGUAUAUGUAAUAUAUGUCAUUAAAAUAUUUGUUAUUCUCUAGUAUAUGUAAUAGGGGUGUUCAAAAUGAAGUUGAAAACUGAAUCGAAUCACUAAUCGAACCGAAAUCGAAUGCAUAUGGUUCGGUUCGAUUCGAUUUCUAUUUCAAAAAAACCACAUAAAAUUCGGUUCGGUUCAGUUUAAGAUGUUAAGAACCGAUUCUCAAACCGAACUGAAUUGCUUUAUUUUAAAAACUAAAUAUAUAUAUAUAUAUAUAUAUAUAUAUAUAUAUAUGUGUGUGUGUGUUAAUAAUAAGACUUUUUUAGACUUCAAAGCGGGUAUAGAGGCAAAAAUCAAUGAGAGGAACGAAAAGGAGAAGAAUGACAUAAUCAAAACGUAAAUGACAAGUUGUCUUGACGAAGUUUGCAUGACUGUAGGACUUUUAUUCAUCUUAGGUGGAUUUUAAAACUUCUAUGUGUUGUUGGACUUUCAAAUUUCAAUGUUUGAAACAUCUAUGUCUGUAACUUUGUAUAAGCCGUUCGGUUUUGAUUUUAUUUUAUUUAUGUAUAUGUGGUUCGAUUUUCUUUGGCAUAGAUGAGCGGUUCGGUUCGGUUUCAAUGAAGAUUUUUUUUAUCAUUUUGCGGUUCGAUGCGGUUUUAGCUUCAAACCGAACCGCGAACACCACUAAUAUGUAAUGUUGAGACCAACUGAAUAUGUUUGUAAUGUAGGGACUUUGAUGAAAGAAUUGAAGAUUCAGGAAAUUGUAUGAAAAAAAAUGGUUGAAUGUUAAAUUGACUUAUGAAUAGUGUAUAUGAAACAAUACAUUAUAUAUUUUAUGAAUGAAAUGUUAUGCAAUCAAUUUGUUAAACUGGUUUAUUUAUUUUAUUUGAAAUAUUUAUUUUAUAUGUAAUAAAUAAUAAGUUAUGUUUGAAACUGCAGUAUAAGGAUAUAUCAUAAUACAUAUUGUUCAUUUAAGGUUAGUAAGAAUUUUAUAUUUUGUAUUUGAAAUAUAAUAUGAUAUAUUGAGUACAUCAAAGAUGACAUCAUUUAUGUACUAUUGAAAAUAUGAAGUAGUAUAUAUAUGUAACAAAUCACAUAAGAUAUAUGUAUCAUGUACUAGUAUAUACGUCAUUAUUUAUAUAUACACACCUAAUGAAAAAAAGUAGAGUGUGUGGGACCCACGUAUAUAAAUAAUGAGAAAAUAAAAAAUGUUGGCCCAAUGUAAUAUAUAUAUAAAGUAAAAAAUAAACUAUGUAGGGUCCACUGCAUGAAAAUUGUGUAGGGGUACAAAACUGCACCUCAACUCAUCUAUUUUUGUCAAUAGUUUUGCAUUCACCUACUUUUGACAUAUGUUUCAAACUUUACAUUAUUUUUUAAAAAAAGUUCUAUACAUAAUAAAUAAUAACUCGUGAUUGAAACAAGAGUGGUUAUGUAUGAAGGAUAGUAUAUUAAAUAUAAUAAAUUGAAAAACUUUGAUUGGUACCGUAGAUGAAAAUUUAUGAAAAAAUAUAGAAAUAAAAUAACUAAAUUAAAAACUGAAAUAUGAAUAUUUCAAAUAAAAGUAUAAAUCAACAUACUAAAAGUUUAAUAAUAAGAAAGAAAAAUUAGUUCAAUAAGGAAAGCUUGCAUCUCUUUCGUUUAUGACAACCACAUUUAAAACUUCAUUUUAGAAUGAAUUCUAAUAUUUUUUUGUUGACCAACUGAACGUUUGACAUUCAAUGGGAUGAUGUCAACUUCAACUACUGUAUUAUUGAAUAUAUGCAUUAGUAUGUAUGUAACAAAUCAAAUAAAAUACUAAUCGAAUAUAGAAAAAUAUAAAGAAAAUGAUACAAAACGUGAAGAAAAAAAACUGAACUAUAUAUGUGUCACAAAAUACGUGUUAUUAUAUUUAUAUAAAUGUAUAUAUUGAUAACAUCACCUGUCUAUGUAGUGAUAUAUAUUGAAAUUCAACUAUAAAUUAUGUAGAACUAUAUGUCACUAAAUAUUUAUGUUGUAAAUAAGGUGUAUCUAUAUAUUAAAUCACAUCAUAAACAUAUUAUAAUUUACGAGUAUAUUAUAGUAUAUAUUGUUCAUUUAAAAAAUAUAUGACAAAUAGAAGGUAUAUAAUUAUACGAAGUGAGAAUAUGUAUGUAUGAUAUUCUCACUGCAUAUUAUAUAUACACUAAGAAUGUGUAUUUUACUGUUUUAGUAGUAUUUACUAUAUAAAUAUAUAUUUUAAAUAUUAAUUAUUAAUGAAUAUAUAGUUUACUACAUGUUGUUACAACAUACUUAAGAUAUAAAUGUUUAUAUGACUAACAACAUAAUAUUACUAUAAGAUAAACAAAAAAAUAAAGAACAGAUUGAAUUGAAAAAUAUUUUCGAUUAUUGUAUGUCACUAUAUAUGUCUGAUUGUAUAUAUCUCUAAGCAAUAUUAGAUAAUGAGGUAGUGUAACGACCCAACUUUUCUAAGUAAGUCGAGAUCGUAAAUUUUUAACAAAUAAAGACUUUGAUUAAUAUAAAACAAAACGUAAACAAUUAAAAAAAAACAUUUUCAAGUCAGGCCUGAUUUUUAAACAUUCAAGAAAACAUAAAAUAAUACUAUUUACAACAAACGUUUGUAAACUAAAUUUCAAUUCAUUUUAAACCUCACAAGAACCCAUAAGCGGAAGCAAAAACACGUUUCCUAUGGCAUCACGUUUCCUUCCUGCCCCUCGCCUGUUUGCCGCCUUUAUUACCUUUGCCUGAAAAUUAAACAUAAGAGGGGUGAGUAUUUAAAUACUCAGUAAGAGACCCUCUACUGGUCUCGUCAGGGGAAAAUAAAUUGUUAAAGUUCUAUUGGGACACCUUGUACAGUCGCAGUCUUGUGAUCCCGUAGGAUACACAUCUCAGUCUAACGCCCCGAGGGACGUACAUAUCAGUCUAACACCCCGAGGGACGUACAUACAGUCUAGUGUUCUGCAGAAACACAUAUCAGUCUAAUGCUCCCGAAGGUGCACAAUAAAUUGGUGAUCCCGUGGGACACCUACAAGGUAAACAUCUCAAUACAAUCUAACAAUUUUCCCCUCAUUCCAUUCAACCCAUCUUUCAGUUACUUCAAGUCACAAAGUUCUUUCUUUCAACAUCCUAACAGUCAACUUAUUUUACUACAGUCAUAUGUCUGUCAAUAAUAUGCUAAUACAUCAGUCAAUCCACUAUACAGUCAAUGCACCCCUCAGUUCACCAGCACACAGUCAUACUUUAGCGUAAUCAUACACCCAAUCUAAACGAGAAUCUCAUACAAACACAAUCUACAAUCUCCGUCCUGUCCACAUACACACAUUUAUAUAUAGAUUCCAUGACAAUCACGACAUACAUUCGACGUCAAGUCUACUUCAAUUCAUAUACAUUCAUAUAUAUUUUCAGUCAACCCACAGUAUACAUUCAACACACAUACAGCUCACAAUCACAGUUCACAAUCACAAUUGAGUCCAGUAGAAAAUCCCUUACCUGGAUCUUUAUGUAAAAUUCCUUAGUCGAACUAACUUCAACAAACAAACCCCAAGAGUAAAGAAUCGAACUCCAACAAAGCUUAAGGCGUAACUCAAGGACACUAACUCCAAAUCACCGAUGUCGCCUUCAAGAACAAAGAUCAAUUCAACCAAUUAAACAACAUCACAUCUUAAUGUAUUUACAAAUGUAAGACCUUUUUACCGAACAAUCUCAUCCUUACCAAUAUCUUGUAACAAGACUUUGACCAUCGACGUUAAAUAGAAGUUGCCGCAGGAUCUACACAAAAGACAUCGUGCAAAACACUUCUGCACGUGAACAGGUCCGCGAUUCGUAAAUGGGACAGCGGGUAUCGACGAAGGCAGAACGGUUCGGACGUUCAACAUCAGUUACGCGCGGACGAGAGUAGCCCGACAACGUAGCCGAACUCGUGCGAUGCGGCGUGACCUGCGUCGGCGAGGCUGUUCGUCUGAGGCGUGAGCGCGUGCGACUUGCCUCGCGGACGGAGAUAGAGACGGCGGUUGGGUUCGGCUUCCACGGAGACAGAAUCGACGAUGGAGACGGCAGAUCGGCGCGCGGGCUGCAGCUGGGCUGCGGCGGGAAGAAAACGAAAGGGAAAGGAUCGGUGGGAGUCGCGGCGCACGGCGGAAGAAGGAAAUAGGGGCGGCGGUUGCUGGGCUGCGACGCAGAUCUGGACUGGGCACGAACGGAAGGAGAAGAGGAACGGAGAUGGCCGGCGGCGGUUGCUGCGCGAACGGAGAGAAGGGGAAGGUGGGUCGCACGACGCACGGGAGGAGAAGAGAAAUAGGGAAAAGAAAAGAAAAAGGAAAAGAAAAACAAAAUAUAUAUAUUUCUUUUUCUUUUCUUUUUAUUUAAAUUAAUUACAAAAUAUAUAUAUAUAUAUAUAUAUAUAUAUAUAUAUAUAUAUAUAUAUAUAAUAUAUAUACCUUUGGGGCAUUACACGUAGUAUAUAUGUAACAAAUCACAUAAUAUAUAUGUAUUAUGGAGUAGUAUAAAUGUAAUUAUUGAGCAAGAAAUUUCAACCAAUGAAAUUACACCACGUCGUCGCACCCAAGUUGUGAUGAUUAUAAUUUGAUUGGAUUUGGGUAGUCAAGUUUUCCAACCCAAUUCAAGCCCCUGAUAAAAAAUCAGGCCAAACAAAGGGGCCUAAGCCCACUAAAAAAAUGGGCCCAAGCCCAAGUCCAAGCUCAACAACUCAACAAGCAAAUGGGUCCAAGCCCACAUAAAGUCCACAAAUUUUCUCUAUAAGUAGAGACCUUUGUCAUUCAUUCGAGAGAUCUUUUGUUGAAGGAAGAAAUGAAGCUCUGAAGUACUGAAGCUUUGAAGAAUUGAAGAUUCAAACUUCUAUAGAGCUCUCAAGACGUGCAAGUUCUUAUCAACUUCGAGAUCAUCGUCUUCUGAAAUAUUGAAGACUUGGAAGAUCAAAAUUUCCUUGAAUUCCAGAAGACUGAAGCUGAAAUAGACCGAACCAUUUAAAUUCGGUUUGGACUAUUUGAGACAGCAACAAACUGUGUUUUUUGUUUUGUACAUAAAUGGUGUGGUUUGAUUCGGUUUUAACAAGCGGUUCAAUUUAUACCGUUUAGACUUGAUCUUAUAUAAUGUGAAAUUAUUUUUUUUCUUUGAAUCUUUAUCUAAGUGUACUCAAAUUGUAUACCAUGUUACAAAAUUGCAAUAAAUUUUUUAAAAUUUUCAAAAAUAUCAUAAAUUGACUAAUAUUUUAUACAAAUAUAGAGUAAAAAUGACCAAUUUACUCUUUUUAUUAUUAAUAAUAUAUUAAAAAUAAAAAGAAAAGUGAACCACGUUUAAGAUUUUCAUUUAUUAAAUAUUCUAUGAAAAUAUGGAUUAAAUUCUAUUAAAGUAAUAUUAAUAAUAAAAAUUGUCCUUAGUUUGCUUUUUAUGAUUUUAUUAAAAAAUUGUCCUUUUUUAUUUUGCAUAACUUUUCAUAUAUUUUAUAUAAUUAUAGUAUAUAUUGAAUAAUAUAAUGUAUAUUUUAUUAGUGAAAUGUUCUUAUAUCAAUUUAUUUAUUUAUUUUAUUUAAAUAUUCAUAUCUUACGUAGUAAAUAAUACAUUAUGUUUGAAAUAAUAUUAAUUAUAUAUGAAAGUUGUUUAUGUUUACAAGAACAUGAAUGAGAAAUAAUUAUGAUGAGUAUAUGUAAUAUACGUCAUUAAAAUAUUUGUUAUUCUCUAGUAUAUGUAAUAGGGGUGUUCAAAAUGAAGUUGAAAACUGAAUCGAAUCACUAAUCGAACCGAAAUCGAAUGCAUAUGGUUCGCUUCGAUUCGAUUUCUAUUUCAAAAAAACCACAUAAAAUUUGGUUCGGUUCAGUUUAAGAUGUUAAGAACCGAUUCUAAAAAAAAACCGAACUGAAUUGCUUUAUUUUAAAAACUAAAUAUAUAUAUGUUAAUAAUAAGACUUUUUUAGACUUCAAAACGGGUAUAGAGGCAAAAAUCAAUGAGAGGAACAAAAAGGAGAAGAAUGACAUAAUCAAAACGUAAAUGACAAGUUGUCUUGACGAAGUUUGUAUGACUGUAGGACUUUUAUUCAUCUUAGGUGGAUUUUAAAAAUUCUAUGUGUUGUUGGACUUUCAAAUUUCAAUGUUUGAAACAUCUAUGUCUGUAAUUUUGAAAUUUCUAUGUUUAUAACUUUGUAUAAGCCGUUCGGUUUUUUGAUUUGAUUUUAUUUAUGUAUAUGUGGUUCGGUUUUCAUUCGGUUUGGCAUAGAUGAGCGGUUCGGUUCGGUUUCAAUGAAGAUUUUUUUUAUCAUUUUGCGGUUCGAUGCGGUUUUAGCUUUAAACCGAAUCGCGAACACCACUAAUAUGUAAUGUUGAGAUCAACUGAAUAUGUUUGUAAUGUAGGGACUUUGAUGAAAGAAUUGAAGAUUCAGAAAAUUUUACGAAAAAAAUGGUUGAAUGUUAAAUUGACUUAUGAAUAGUGUAUAUGAAACAAUACAUUAUAUAUUUUAUGAAUGAAGUGUUAUGCAAUCAAUUUGUUAAACUGGUUUAUUUAUUUUAUUUCAAAUAUUUAUUUUAUAUGUAAUAAAUAAUAAGUUAUGUUUGAAACAGCAGUAUAAGGAUAUAUCAUAAUAUAUAUUGUUCAUUUAAGGUUAGUAAGAAUUUUAUAUUUUGUAUUUGAAAUAUACUAUGAUAUAUUGAGUACAUCAAAGAUGACAUCAUUUAUGUACUAUUGAAAAUAUGAAGUAGUAUAUAUAUGUAACAAAUCACAUAAGAUAUAUGUAUCAUGUACUAGUAUAUACGUCAUUAUUUAUAUAUACACACCUAAUGAAAAAAAGAAGAGUGUGUGGGACCCACGUAUAUAAAUAAUGAGAAAAUAAAAAAUGUUGGCCCAAUGUAAUAUAUAUAUAAAGUAAAAAAUAAACUAUGUAGGGUCCACUGCAUGAAAAUUGUGUAGGGGUACAAAACUUCACCUCAACUCACCUAUUUUUGUCAAUAGUUUUGCAUUCACCUACUUUUGACAUAUGUUUCAAAAUUUACAUUAUUUUUUAAAAAAAGUUCUAUACAUAAUAAAUAAUAACUCGUGAUUGAAACAAGAGUGGUUAUGUAUGAAGGAUAGUAUAUUAAAUAUAAUAAAUUGAAAAACUUUGAUUGGUACCGUAGAUGAAAAUUUAUGAAAAAAUAUAGAAAUAAAAUAACUAAAUUAAAAACUGAAAUAUGAAUAUUUCAAAUAAAAGUAUAAAUCAACAUACUAAAAGUUUAAUAAUAAGAAAGAAAAAUUAGUUCAAUAAGGAAAGCUUGCAUCUCUUUCGUUUAUGACAACCACAUUUAAAACUUCAUUUUAGAAUGAAUUCUAAUAUUUUUUUGUUGACCAACUGAACGUUUUACAUUCAAUGGGAUGAUGUCAACUUCAAUUACUGUAUCAUUGAAUAUAUGCAUUAGUAUGUAUGUAACAAAUCAAAUAAAAUACUAAUCGAAUAUAGAAAAAUAUAAAGAAAAUGAUACAAAACGUGAAGGAAAAAAACUGAACUAUAUAUGUGUCACAAAAUACGUGUUAUUAUAUUUAUAUAAAUGUAUAUAUUGAUAACAUCACCUGUCUAUGUAGUGAUAUUGUAAAGUCCCAAAGGUAAAAAUAUAUAUAUAUACAUUUUUUUUAAUUUUUAUAUAUAUAUAUAUAUUUUUUCUUUUAUUUUCUUUUUCUUUUCUUUUCUCUCUUCUCCUUCCUCCCCGUGCGUUCUCCUUCCCGUUCGCAGCAACCGCCGCCCCAUCUAUUCUCUUUUCGUUCGUGCGCAGCCGCAGUCCAACCGCCGCCCCUUCUUUUCUUUUCUUCCUCUUUCGUUCGACGUCGACGGUCAGGCCAAGCCAAACCGCAGCUGCAACCGUCGGCCGCCGUCUUUGUUGCGAAGCAAGGCCGCUGCGUGACCUUCCGCCCACCGCCGUGUGACCCUCUGUCCAGUUCUGCACCGCUAGAUCGAGCCGUCCACCGGUUUCGUCUAUUUCUGUCUCCGUUCACCGAAGCCGAACCCAACCGCCACCCUUUCUUUUCUUCUUCGAUCCAAAAACUGCCGCUGCAACGCGUCAGCCGCUGCGUGACCUCUGCCCAGCACCGCCGCGCAGCCUCUGUCUCUGCGCCGUUACCCAGAUCUGCGUCGCCGUGCCCCGUCCUAAUCGUCUCUGUCUCUGUCGAAGUUUUGUUGGUAAGAUUGAAGUCAUGAAAUUGUAGUCGUUUCCAAAACAAUUUAAGUAUGGGUUGUUAUGUUUUCAAGGUGUUCAAACGUUACGGAUGGGUUAAUUGACUAAUUUGAUAAAUUAUUCUUGAAGGUGUGAAAGGUAACUUUGGAUCACUUAAAUUCACAACCAAUUUGUGAAUUGUUGAGGGUUCAGUUCGCCAAUAUAUCGGUGAGUUGGAACUUACGUUGAGGAAAGUAAGUG